AACAUUUUUAUAUUUUUUAGUGUGCAAUAUAAAAUUAUCCUGACUUUUGGUCAUACUGUUUCAUUUUGUGUGUGAAUUUUAAACCCCCACCCCGAAAAAAUAUCCUGAGUGCGCCACUGGUAGGAUUAAUAUGUAAAAGCGCGGUCCGCGGGUUAAAUCGAGCCCGCGUUAUGCAUUCUAGGGGUUAACUCGAGUCGCGCGGCGGCGGCUACUUCACAAUUUUCUACGCGACGCACGCACGGCGGCGCUCCGCAAAUUUAUUCGUAAGAGUGUACGACAUGCGCGCGCGCGCACGAGGUGAGCAUCUACCACCUAUGCAGGCUAUCUCAUGAACGGAUACGAUGCAGCAGGAAGCGCACGAUUACCGGACUCACUCCGAUGCAUUCCCGGCGCUGCAUGUGCGGCAGCUGUGCUAGGAGAUGCGCCGCGGUUUCCAUCCCGGUCGCGCAAUCUCCCGUCGGCCCGAUUUCGAGAAGCGGCAGAAUGAGACGGCGCUAAUUAUAGGUGCGUCGCUUUUUCCGCGCGCGUCUCUCACGAUAAACGCACAGCUCUGUACCGAUGGCCGCUGAUACAUCCAGUUCGAUACGGCAAUUUACGACAAAAAAAAUGAAUAUUUUCUACCCAAAAGAUUAAAACAUUUUCGUUGAAAGAGCUUCGAGACUCUCGAAACGUCGAUGGUUCUCAAAUUACAAUCAAAUGGGAAAGUUUUCGCCGCUUUGUUGUCGAUAAUUAGCUUUUUUCCAAUUAGUAUACAUUUGUAUUAAUCGCAUAUUCAUCUUACAGACAGCGGGGCUUCAGAAUCCACGAUCCAGAGAUCGUUAUUCGAAAUUCGAAGUUGUAGAUCCAAGAUCGAAGCUUCAAGCUCUGCAAGAUCGUGUAGAAGCGUUGCGCGUCAACUUAUUUGUUCGCGGCGAUAAGGAUAAAAAGAGGCGAGUCAUACACCUACCGUCGGCGCGGCAAAAAGAUGGCUGUUCACGGAUAUUAUCGCGGCGAUCGUUAUUCAGAACGGCGGCACGACAACGGCGACAUGCCUGCUGCAUAAUUUUGCGGCGUGGUUGUUGACGAGAAACGACGUUCCCUUGACCCGGGGAAUAAAUAAACUGAGGAAACCGCGCAGCGCCACGGUGUGCUCUCACGGGAAUACUUGCCGAUACUUUUCAUUGAGAAUCCCCGGAGCACGCCGAGCCGGCUUUAACACCGCAUCAUCGAUGAGACCGCUCAAUUAGUGGCGGAAACACUGGCUCUCAUCGCUGACGUCGCAAGGUGAUUAGCUCGACCUCACGCAUCCCGUGACUUCCUACAUUUCGUUACGUUCCUGGUAUAUUCGUGUUCGAUGACAUCCAUUUUGGAUUUCCCACGCGCUUGCUUUUAUGACAAAAGGUGCUUGGAGCUAAUAGCGAAAGGCAACUUUGAGUUGUUGGCUGAGCAUCACGUGUUACACAAGCCUAUCGUCAAGAAUCCGAUUUGCGUGAAUCACCAAAGGAAAUGACUCGGCCAGAUUGCCCGCCCAGGUAUUGGUUCCGUUCGCCUGUACUCAUCUUGCACUCGAGCGGAUUGUCUGCAAUCGUCUACGCAGUUAAGAGAAACGCCUUAUCGUCGGCGUACGCGAUGAUAAGUCGCGGUCUUAUUGUUAUCAAUGCGCUCUCGGUUCAGGCGCACCGAAAAGAUUUACCGAGAUAACCGACGUUUGAUUGGCCAAGUUUGAUUAUCGACGUCCGGCAUCGUCUUCUUGAGUCACUUCCACGUAUCUGAUAAGGGAGUUUAUCACUCGCAAGAGCCAAUCGUGAGAAAUUGGUCUCUGCGCGUUGAAUAUUGUAUCUUCAUCCACGAUCUAGAAAUAAGUUUCACACGCGUCGAAUGUGUGAAUGAGCAUGAAAUUAUAUAAUCCGUGCGAAGAGAGACUUCUUUUCGUCAAAAAUUCUCUUUUUUGUUUUAUUAUUCAAAUAUGCUUAUAAUAAUACAUAAUAUAAUAAUAUAAUUUGCUCAUAUCAAUAGAAAGAACGCGAUAAACGAUACAGUUCCAAUUACUUUGAUAUUAUUUAGGAAAGAUGCGUACAAAUCAAUGUCAGUUAAAGUUAAAGAGGUAAAUCCUUUUUUUAUAUCUUCAUACGCACAAAAGUGGAAUAAAAUAUCCCAUACGAUAAAUUAUUUAUCUCUUUAAUUUGAGAGAAAAAUCGAGUAGAUAAAAAUGAGAUAUAUCUGAAGAAAAUUAAUGUGAGAAAAGCGUUAUUUCUGAAGCUCCCGGCUUGUACAAUUUUAUUUUCCCACGGGAAUAGAUUUUUCCGAGAAAAGGAAGGUGCAGUCAUCUACUGGCUCGGAACAUACGAUGCGUGAUUACACCGAACCGCCGUUUAAUCCAGGGAUUCGCUUAUUUAUGACCACGGAUGUACACGUCAAGAUAAGAUCCGCACUUUAGGAAAACCGAGCGUCUCCUCUCAUUCCGGACUAUUUAAUCCAAUGAUUUGAUGAUUGAUAGCCGCUCGGAAACCGAGCCGGUAAACUGUCGCGCAGCUGCGACGUGAAUCGCGCGAGCAGUUGACAAUGAUUCCGCGCGUCCACCCCGCUGCCCUCAAUUGUUUCAUAGACCGCUCGUUUCCUCGGGCGAAUGCUGAGGCGGAGCUCGUCGACGUCGCCUGAAAAUUCUACGAAGCGUGUCGCCGCUAUUCCGGUCGCAAAAGUCUUUCUCUCUCUCUUUUACUUCUUCUAUCGAGCGGUCACGUCUCUUUUUUUUUUUUAUUUAACUCGUAGCGCCGGACACCGGGUGAGUUCUUGUGUCUCCGACCGGUAACAAGACUCCGCACGAAGUCACGGAAUGCGUAUGUGCGCGAGCAUACGUGUACAUACGUGCACACGUAAUGAGCCGACCGAGACGGAAGAUACAAAAAUACGAUAAUAAUCGCGACGACGCCGUCGCCUCGGGCGGAGUACUCGCUAGAGAGAUUAAGCUGUCUGACACGAAUUUUUGUACCGCGGUCCACAAAAAAAGCGAACGGAUAUACGCGGCAUGGCUCUUUAGAAUUGUCACAAAGAACGGCAGUCGGGUCAAUGAUUUAAAGAAAAAAAGCCCUUUUCAAAAUGACUGAUUCAAGAUUCGGUAGAAUCACGACGCCGCUUUGCGCGGAAUAAUAUCGCUCGCUCGCCGCCUCGAAUGAUUUUUACGCAACGGACCGAAUGAAGAAAAAGCGAUCAGCCGUUUUAGAAAGUGCAUCAUCCCAAAGUUCGUAUUAUUCUGCGGAAAAUAGCAACUUUCCAUUCGAAAAUCGAGACGGGCGCGCCCGCGAUGCACGAUGAUUUCAGUGUAAUUGCAAUCUCGAAGCGUCUGUAAACAAGGGCGCCUGGGAUUUAUUCGCGCAACGUUUGCCGCUACAGAAAAUUGCAGCCGGAAUCAUGGUGUACAGGUUAGCGAACGACCGUCGUCGUACGUCGAACGCUUAUAAUCAGACGCUUGGUGGUCGGCGGCAGCCUGUUACGGCGUCGGUGACGACGAUUUCGUAGUAGUAGUAGUAGCCAUCACGGCUAGUGGCUGGCGCCGCCGGACGUUCAACAAUGGUCGCGUCCCUCUUUCCCUUCGCCCCUUUUACACUCCCUGCGACGCCGCCAGUCUGCACUGCCACCGUGGCAGUCGUCAAACACCCCCGACUUCGAAUUGCCGCUUGCAAAUAUCACGCCGAGUCCGAGUCUUUUUGCUCAACGUAUCAAUUUUACUCUAUGAUUAUUUUCGUUAGCGAUUGUAAGAUGAUUGUAUCGAUUUUCAUUCAGUUGUUCUCUGCAUAUUUUUUUGGUAUAAAAAUAAUGCAGAAUAAUUUUACAACUACGUGUUAAAUUGAUCGGAAGCUCCUUCGGAUCGUUCGAUAAAAAUAAAUGUGAAAAUCCAGAGGAACUUUCUUAUCAAUGCGCUUUGAAUAAAAAGAUAACUUAUCGUCGAUGUGAAUCUCGUAAUAUAAGGUUCACCUUUGACCUAAAUAAACGGAAUCUAUCGCCAAUGUCGGACUUUACUGCGAUGAAAGAAGAGUUUUUGAAGCUACCUUUCUUCGGGUUCUCAUUCUUUCUCUUUUAUAACUUUGAAAUCCUAUUUUUAUAACAUGUGCAGCUGUGUCGAAAGUGAAGGAGAAUCUCUAAUGAAAUUCAAAUUAACGCAAUCUUACUGAAGGAUUUUAUAUUAAGGGGAUUCCAAAGUGGUCUGUUUUACCUAUUUCUUUCAAAUACACUAUACUUUUUUUUGGCUGUGUAGAAUGAAAAGUCCUUUUCUGUAAGUAAAGUACAUUUUCUAAUACACUACGGACGGUCGAUUUGAAAGGAUUUUUCAAGCCACGCAGCC
rnacentral:lncRNA from 1 species